AGAGUUUGAUCAUGGCUCAGAUUGAACGCUGGCGGUAGGCUUAACACAUGCAAGUCGUGCGAGAAAGUAUCUUCGGAUAUGAUUAGAGCGGCGGACGGGUGAGUAACGCGUAGGAAUCUACCUAGUAGAAGGGGAUAGCCCGAGGAAACUCGGAUUAAUACCGUAUACCUCCUUCGGGAGAAAGAAGGCCUCUCUUUGAAGCUUUCGCUACUAGAUGAGCCUGCGUAAGAUUAGCUUGUUGGUGAGGUAAAGGCUCACCAAGGCGACGAUCUUUAGCGGGUCUGAGAGGACGAUCCGCCACAUUGGGACUGAGACACGGCCCAGACUCCUACGGGAGGCAGCAGUGGGGAAUAUUGGACAAUGGGCGCAAGCCUGAUCCAGCCAUACCGCGUGUGUGAAGAAGGCCUUAGGGUUGUAAAGCACUUUAAGUUGGGAAGAAAGGUUAUUGGCUAAUACCCAAUAACUGUGACAUUACCAUCAGAAUAAGGACCGGCUAAUUCCGUGCCAGCAGCCGCGGUAAUACGGAAGGUCCAAGCGUUAAUCGGAAUUACUGGGCGUAAAGCGCGCGUAGGUGGUUUAUUAAGUUGGAUGUGAAAUCCCCGGGCUCAACCUGGGAACUGCAUUCAAAACUGGUUCACUAGAGUACGAUAGAGGGAGGUAGAAUUCACAGUGUAGCGGUGGAAUGCGUAGAUAUUGUGAAGAAUACCAAUGGCGAAGGCAGCCUCCUGGAUCUGUACUGACACUGAGGUGCGAAAGCGUGGGUAGCGAACAGGAUUAGAUACCCUGGUAGUCCACGCCGUAAACGAUGGAUACUAGCUGU
rnacentral:rRNA from 1 species